GAAUGUGUCAGCCAAUCUGGCAUCUAGGGCACACAUCUAACAGAAAUAUGGGUAUAAGUAUCCCUCCGAUCUAAAAUCACCAUAGUGACUUGCAAGCAACUCACUAUGCUUUGAUAUCGGACUAUUUGAAUUUCUAAUGUAGGAUCGAAAGAUUUUUGGGUAUAGUUAAGUACUUGUAAUAUUGGUGCGUGAGUCGAGAUUGAAUUGACCACUCCA
rnacentral:lncRNA from 1 species